rnacentral:rRNA from 1 species
UAACAAGGAUUCCCCUAGUAACUGCGAGUGAAGCGGGAAAAGCUCAAAUUUAAAAUCUGGCGGUCUUUGGCCGUCCGAGUUGUAGUCUGGAGAAGUGCUUUCCGCGCUGGACCGUGUACAAGUCUCUUGGAACAGAGCGUCAUAGAGGGUGAGAAUCCCGUCUUUGACACGGACUACCAGUGCUUUGUGAUGUGCUCUCAAAGAGUCGAGUUGUUUGGGAAUGCAGCUCAAAAUGGGUGGUAAAUUCCAUCUAAAGCUAAAUAUUGGCGAGAGACCGAUAGCGAACAAGUACCGUGAGGGAAAGAUGAAAAGCACUUUGGAAAGAGAGUUAAACAGUACGUGAAAUUGCUGAAAGGGAAACGCUUGAAGUCAGUCGCGUUGGCCAGGACUCAGCCUUGCUUUUGCUUGGUGCAUUUUCUGGUUGACGGGCCAGCAUCGAUUUUGACCGCUGGAAAAAGGUUAGGGGAAUGUGGCACCUUCGGGUGUGUUAUAGCCCUUAGUCGCAUACAGUGGUUGGGAUCGAGGACCGCAGCACGCCUUUAUGGCCGGGGUUCGCCCACGUUCGUGCUUAGGAUGCUGGCGUAAUGGCUUUAAACGACCCGUCUUGAAACACGGACCAAGGAGUCUAACAUGCCUGCGAGUGUUUGGGUGGAAAACCCGAGCGCGUAAUGAAAGUGAAAGUUGAGAUCCCCUGUCGUGGGGAGCAUCGACGCCCGGACCUGAACUUCGGUGAUGGAUCUGCGGUAGAGCAUGUAUGUUGGGACCCGAAAGAUGGUGAACUAUGCCUGAAUAGGGUGAAGCCAGAGGAAACUCUGGUGGAGGCUCGUAGCGAUUCUGACGUGCAAAUCGAUCGUCAAAUUUGGG